AGUACGGCCGCAAGGUUAAAACUCAAAUGAAUUGACGGGGGCCCGCACAAGCGGUGGAGCAUGUGGUUUAAUUCGAUGCAACGCGAAGAACCUUACCUACUCUUGACAUCCAGCGAAUCCUGUAGAGAUACGGGAGUGCCUUCGGGAACGCUGAGACAGGUGCUGCAUGGCUGUCGUCAGCUCGUGUUGUGAAAUGUUGGGUUAAGUCCCGCAACGAGCGCAACCCUUAUCCUUUGUUGCCAGCGGUUCGGCCGGGAACUCAAAGGAGACUGCCAGUGAUAAACUGGAGGAAGGUGGGGAUGACGUCAAGUCAUCAUGGCCCUUACGAGUAGGGCUACACACGUGCUACAAUGGCGUAUACAAAGAGAAGCGAACUCGCGAGAGCAAGCGGACCUCAUAAAGUACGUCGUAGUCCGGAUUGGAGUCUGCAACUCGACUCCAUGAAGUCGGAAUCGCUAGUAAUCGUGGAUCAGAAUGCCA
rnacentral:rRNA from 3 species